UGUUAUACAGAACUUGGCCAAACUCACC
rnacentral:piRNA from 1 species